UUAUGAAAGGCUGGAACUUCCAUUGAGCAAGAAAAUGUCCUGGAUAGAAGCUUGCUCUUCAAGCCAGGCAAUCAUGAAAAGCCAAAGGUCAAGCUUGUGUGCGCUGCCCUAUGGAAGAACAUGCAUAACAAGUGACUGAAGGAAGCCUCUGCCAACAUCUGGAAAUAGUUUCUAUCACCAGCAAUCUCUGGAGCUGCCCCCGAGGGCACAGCCUGCACUGCAGCUUUCUCUGUCAGCACCUGAGAGUAAAGUGGAAGAAGCCCAGAGCGUUCUCCACGGAAACAGAAAGCCUCUUACAUGAUACAAAUAUUGACUCCACUCUGGUGUACGAUGUUUGCAUAGCAAGAGGAUAUUUGAAAGGAAACUGUAUAUAAAAAGCAAAAUGCUAUCACAUUGCUACAACAGGCUAAAAUGCACUUCUGAAUGCUUUAAAACUAAAGAGGAAUAUCGUGAAUCCCUUCUGCUGAAGUUUCUCUCGAUCCAAGCCUAAAUUCUUCCUGAUAUUUUCUUACAUUACUCAACAGUCAGUGGUAUAGCAUGCUUAUUACAGGAUUUGCAGUUAUAUACUUUCCUGAAAAUUAUGAUGACUGAGUCCUGAGUCCUGGGUGCUUCUGUGGUAUGGGGCACUAAAUGAAGCGUUUAAUGGAAACUAGGGAAGAUGUCGUCCUUAGCAUUAAACUGCUCUCUGUGAAUGCAUUUUGUGGUUGAGCUGUUUUUAUUAAACAUCUGCUUCUCUGGAAAUGGACAGUGUCUGCUAGCAAAGAGGAAAAGAGAGUCAGGCAAGAAUUUUCAAAAACAAUGAUGAGCUGAUUGCUUCGAGUAGCUCAACCUGACACGAUGGUAUAAUUUCCAUGAUUUGCCUUUGAUUUCUUUCACUCUGCUGCAAUAAGUUACCACAAACACUACCUGGACUUAGUGAAGAAGAAGAA